UAAGGAUCAUCUCCUUGGCCUAGCCUGACAUGGUCCCAAGCUGUCCUUGAGGCUGAGGUAGUAGAUUGAAUAGUUGUGGAGUCCUAUCCUCCCUUUGAGCUAACUAUACAAUCUACUGUCUUUCCUAAGGAGACAGUCAGAUCAUCGGUUUUCAUCAUCUACAUGUCAACAAGCAUGGAGGCAGAUGGUGCAAGUAAUCCUGUCUGUAUUCAAGGCCAGUGAUAUGCCUGUGAAUCACGUGAGACCUCUGUACUGCUCUGUGGAGAAGAUGCGAUCAACUUGGGAAAGGUUUAGAUGUGCUAUUCUUUUCUGGUCUAUCCUCCUGAGUCAGGAGGGGAGUGGAAAUUUUGGUACAACAAGGAUAGAUUUGAGCUUGGGAUUUAAGCUUUUUGCACCCAGUUCUGAAGUUUGGGUCAAGAACUAGAUCCAAGAGCAAGCCUUACCUGUGAAAUCAAAGCCCUGGGAGUUUUUCUGAUUUGGCUGGCCGGCUCCUUCUUCAGUAAGUGCAUUCUGGUUUUGGACUAGUCCCAGCUCUCCAAGGGUAUGGAGUUAGAGGGUGGUUCUUUCUGAUUUGAUAACCCAUGUCAACCUAACUCACAUGCAAACCCUAGCUAGGAGAUUAGGGCUCCUGUGCAUUUACAUAUGAUAGAGUCACCAAUUCAGACUGAAGCCCUGUUCUAGAGGAGAGACAGUUAAGGAAAAGGUAUGAGCCAAAGAGAGUGAGUCCUAGUCCUUCUGGGCUCGUCCGGCUCAGUAGCCCUGACAUCUGACAACAGACAUAUGAAAAGGCAGCAUGCUUCAGAGCUCUGCUACUUGACAAGGGACAGGGAAUAGUCAUUUCUUCCCUUUCUUAGAAGCAGAUGGGACCGUCCCUCUGCCAUAUUCCAGUGCAAAUAGGAUCAAAAUCGUGAGUGGGUCUGUAACCUGAUCAGGGCUGCACCAGCUCUUCAAGAGAGAAGGAUGUCUUAGGCCAUUAUCAUUGCCAUCUCACUGUCAGGAAAACGUGUGAGAUCUGAGACAUCAGAGACCAAGGGCAAGCAGAGGACACAUUCACAGAUGAAGUGGGGAGAAGAGAGCUGGAAAAAGAAAUUGGAGCCCUCUAAUUUCAGCGUGAGGAAUGCACGAGGAGACACAGACUUGCCUGCUUGGAUCAGGAGCCUUCCAGAAGUGAAGCAGUUUGUUUGAGGCUCCUCUCCUUCUUGGGAUGGGACAUAGCUGCAGCGAGACUGGGACGUGACUUCCUCAGGCUGGGCAGCAGCUGGUGGGUGGGAAUGCUGCAGUAUCUAGCAGCACAGGAAUGCUGUCCUCUCACCAUAAAUCUGGCUCUUCAGCAAUCCUGGUGCCUUGCUGCACAAAACUACAGCUUGGUCCUCUUACACACAGUAUUAUCCUCUAGCUGCUUGCUAAGGGCUGCAGGGCUUCUACCCCUAAAUUGCUUGGAAGUUACCAAAACAGCAGCACAAACUUGUGAGCAGGGCAGCACAUAUUCGUAUUUGAGAGAUAUCGCCUGGAAAAGGCUUAAUUUUGUGUGUCACAAAUGAAGUCAAUUCAGGUUGCACUUUUCCCCCUUCCAUUGCAUUGAAGUUAAUGCAGGGACUCCUCAGCGGUGAAACUGUGUGAGCUGGAAGCCAUGAAUAAAACAUUACUGGAGAUA